GGUUAAGCGACUAAGCGUACACGGUGGAUGCCCUGGCAGUCAGAGGCGAUGAAGGACGUGCUAAUCUGCGAUAAGCGUCGGUAAGGUGAUAUGAACCGUUAUAACCGGCGAUUUCCGAAUGGGGAAACCCAGUGUGAUUCGUCACACUAUCAUUAACUGAAUCCAUAGGUUAAUGAGGCGAACCGGGGGAACUGAAACAUCUAAGUACCCCGAGGAAAAGAAAUCAACCGAGAUUCCCCCAGUAGCGGCGAGCGAACGGGGAGCAGCCCAGAGCCUGAAUCAGUGUGUGUGUUAGUGGAAGCGUCUGGAAAGGCGCGCGAUACAGGGUGACAGCCCCGUACACAAAAAUGCACAUGCUGUGAGCUCGAUGAGUAGGGCGGGACACGUGGUAUCCUGUCUGAAUAUGGGGGGACCAUCCUCCAAGGCUAAAUACUCCUGACUGACCGAUAGUGAACCAGUACCGUGAGGGAAAGGCGAAAAGAACCCCGGCGAGGGGAGUGAAAAAGAACCUGAAACCGUGUACGUACAAGCAGUGGGAGCCUCUUUAUGGGGUGACUGCGUACCUUUUGUAUAAUGGGUCAGCGACUUAUAUUCUGUAGCAAGGUUAACCGAAUAGGGGAGCCGAAGGGAAACCGAGUCUUAACUGGGCGUUAAGUUGCAGGGUAUAGACCCGAAACCCGGUGAUCUAGCCAUGGGCAGGUUGAAGGUUGGGUAACACUAACUGGAGGACCGAACCGACUAAUGUUGAAAAAUUAGCGGAUGACUUGUGGCUGGGGGUGAAAGGCCAAUCAAACCGGGAGAUAGCUGGUUCUCCCCGAAAGCUAUUUAGGUAGCGCCUCGUGAAUUCAUCUCCGGGGGUAGAGCACUGUUUCGGCAAGGGGGUCAUCCCGACUUACCAACCCGAUGCAAACUGCGAAUACCGGAGAAUGUUAUCACGGGAGACACACGGCGGGUGCUAACGUCCGUCGUGAAGAGGGAAACAACCCAGACCGCCAGCUAAGGUCCCAAAGUCAUGGUUAAGUGGGAAACGAUGUGGGAAGGCCCAGACAGCCAGGAUGUUGGCUUAGAAGCAGCCAUCAUUUAAAGAAAGCGUAAUAGCUCACUGGUCGAGUCGGCCUGCGCGGAAGAUGUAACGGGGCUAAACCAUGCACCGAAGCUGCGGCAGCGACACUAUGUGUUGUUGGGUAGGGGAGCGUUCUGUAAGCCUGUGAAGGUGUACUGUGAGGUAUGCUGGAGGUAUCAGAAGUGCGAAUGCUGACAUAAGUAACGAUAAAGCGGGUGAAAAGCCCGCUCGCCGGAAGACCAAGGGUUCCUGUCCAACGUUAAUCGGGGCAGGGUGAGUCGACCCCUAAGGCGAGGCCGAAAGGCGUAGUCGAUGGGAAACAGGUUAAUAUUCCUGUACUUGGUGUUACUGCGAAGGGGGGACGGAGAAGGCUAUGUUGGCCGGGCGACGGUUGUCCCGGUUUAAGCGUGUAGGCUGGUUUUCCAGGCAAAUCCGGAAAAUCAAGGCUGAGGCGUGAUGACGAGGCACUACGGUGCUGAAGCAACAAAUGCCCUGCUUCCAGGAAAAGCCUCUAAGCAUCAGGUAACAUCAAAUCGUACCCCAAACCGACACAGGUGGUCAGGUAGAGAAUACCAAGGCGCUUGAGAGAACUCGGGUGAAGGAACUAGGCAAAAUGGUGCCGUAACUUCGGGAGAAGGCACGCUGAUACGUAGGUGAAGUCCCUUGCGGAUGGAGCUGAAAUCAGUCGAAGAUACCAGCUGGCUGCAACUGUUUAUUAAAAACACAGCACUGUGCAAACACGAAAGUGGACGUAUACGGUGUGACGCCUGCCCGGUGCCGGAAGGUUAAUUGAUGGGGUUAGCGGUAACGCGAAGCUCUUGAUCGAAGCCCCGGUAAACGGCGGCCGUAACUAUAACGGUCCUAAGGUAGCGAAAUUCCUUGUCGGGUAAGUUCCGACCUGCACGAAUGGCGUAAUGAUGGCCAGGCUGUCUCCACCCGAGACUCAGUGAAAUUGAACUCGCUGUGAAGAUGCAGUGUACCCGCGGCAAGACGGAAAGACCCCGUGAACCUUUACUAUAGCUUGACACUGAACAUUGAGCCUUGAUGUGUAGGAUAGGUGGGAGGCUUUGAAGUGUGGACGCCAGUCUGCAUGGAGCCGACCUUGAAAUACCACCCUUUAAUGUUUGAUGUUCUAACGUUGGCCCCUAAUCGGGGUUGCGGACAGUGUCUGGUGGGUAGUUUGACUGGGGCGGUCUCCUCCUAAAGAGUAACGGAGGAGCACGAAGGUUGGCUAAUCCUGGUCGGACAUCAGGAGGUUAGUGCAAUGGCAUAAGCCAGCUUGACUGCGAGCGUGACGGCGCGAGCAGGUGCGAAAGCAGGUCAUAGUGAUCCGGUGGUUCUGAAUGGAAGGGCCAUCGCUCAACGGAUAAAAGGUACUCCGGGGAUAACAGGCUGAUACCGCCCAAGAGUUCAUAUCGACGGCGGUGUUUGGCACCUCGAUGUCGGCUCAUCACAUCCUGGGGCUGAAGUAGGUCCCAAGGGUAUGGCUGUUCGCCAUUUAAAGUGGUACGCGAGCUGGGUUUAGAACGUCGUGAGACAGUUCGGUCCCUAUCUGCCGUGGGCGCUGGAGAACUGAGGGGGGCUGCUCCUAGUACGAGAGGACCGGAGUGGACGCAUCACUGGUGUUCGGGUUGUCAUGCCAAUGGCACUGCCCGGUAGCUAAAUGCGGAAGAGAUAAGUGCUGAAAGCAUCUAAGCACGAAACUUGCCCCGAGAUGAGUUCUCCCUGACUCCCUGAGAGUCCUGAAGGAACGUUGAAGACGACGACGUUGAUAGGCCGGGUGUGUAAGCGCAGCGAUGCGUUGAGCUAACCGGUACUAAUGAACCGUGAGGCUUAACCUU
rnacentral:rRNA from 1 species